rnacentral:rRNA from 1 species
GACGAACGCUGGCGGCGUGCUUAACACAUGCAAGUCGAACGGAAAGGCCCUGCUGUUGUGGGGUGCUCGAGGGGCGAACGGGUGAGUAACACGUGAGCAACCUGCCCUUGACUUUGGGAUAACUUCAGGUAACUGGGGCUACUACCGGAUAGGAGCUCCUGCUGCAUGGUGGGGGUUGGAAGGUUUCGGCGGUUGGGGAUGGACUCGCGGCUUAUCAGCUUGUUGGUGGGGUAGUGGCUUACCAAGGCUUUGACGGGUAGCCGGCCUGAGAGGGUGACCGGCCACAUUGGGACUGAGAUACGGCCCAGACUCCUACGGGAGGCAGCAGUGGGGAAUAUUGCACAAUGGGCGCAAGCCUGAUGCAGCGACGCCGCGUGCGGGAUGACGGCCUUCGGGUUGUAAACCGCUUUCGGCUGUGACGAAGCGUGAGUGACGGUAAUGGGUGAAGAAGCACCGGCUAACUACGUG